rnacentral:rRNA from 1 species
CCCAGCUGCGUUUGCUUUGCCGAGCGCCAUUUAGGCGCUAGGCGGACGGUUAUGCCCCUAUUUUUGGCCAUGCUCUAUCCUUUUCGGGAUCCAUGGAAAAUUAUGUGGUAUCGCUUGUUGCCUCGGAUGCGGAGCACGAAGCGAGCAUGAUGCCUGUCAUCAUUCGCUCAUUCGGAGCUCUCGAUUGCUCGGAAAGAUAGACUGUCGCGCUUGGUUUUGGCUGUCGACUCGUCGAACUAGUUCAAAACCUCGCCGACAUCUUCAAUGAAUGCUACCUGGUUGAUCCUGCCAGUAGUCAUAUGCUUGUCUCAAAGAUUAAGCCAUGCA